AUACUUACCUGGCGCGGGGGAUACCGUGAUCAAGAAGCGCGUGGCCUCCAGGACGAGGCCUGUACAUUGCACUCCGUAUGCGGCUGACCUCUGGACUACCCCACAAUCGGGUGGUCGAGCGCAUAAUUUUUGGUGAGUGCGGACAAGCGUUCAGCGCUGUCGCCUU
rnacentral:snRNA from 1 species